rnacentral:rRNA from 1 species
GUCCCAGACUCCUACGGGAGGCAGCAGUGGGGAAUAUUGGGCAAUGGAGGCAACUCUUACCCAGCAAUGCCGCGUGAAUGAAGAAGGUCUUCGGGUUGUAAACUUCUUUUCUGAGGGACGAAGAAAGUGACGGUACCUCAGGAAUAAGCCACGGCUAACUACGUGCCAGCAGCCGCGGUAAUACGUAGGUGGCAAGCGUUAUCCGGAUUUAUUGGGUGUAAAGGGCGUGUAGGCGGGAAUGCAAGUCAGAUGUGAAAACUAUGGGCUCAACCCAUAGCCUGCAUUUGAAACUGUAUUUCUUGAGUGCUGGAGAGGCAAUCGGAAUUCCGUGUGUAGCGGUGAAAUGCGUAGAUAUACGGAGAAACACCAGUGGCGAAGGCGGAUUGCUGGACAGUAACUGACGCUGAGGCGCGAAAGCGUGGGGAGCAAACAGGAUUAGAUACCCGAGUAUAU